UGGGAGAGAUUUUCACUUCCCAGCCUCUGCACCAACUAUGGAUGCAUACGGCCAUUUUAGUAUGAGUACCAAGAUGAACAUGGUCCUCAGAAUAUAUUUUUAAAUAAGUAUCAAGAUAUUUCUUAAUGAGUGGUUCCUCCUUAAUAAAUGGGAGAAACCCCCUGUGUAUCACCUGUCAAUUCUAGGAAUUAAACUCGGGUCGUUAGGCUGCACAACCGCAUGCCCAACCACUGAGCCAAGACUCUCUUUGCAUAUACCUAGGCGCCGGAUAACCAGAACCAAGAAGGUGGCCAAUUGGACUGCGGCGUCCAUCUUUUUUGUUGCUUCUGGAAUGAGUUUAUGUGGCGCAGUUGCCCGUCCUCUCCUAAUAGAGCAUGAAGGAGUGUACUACACUGCCGAGAGUGCACAUGCUAGUGGAGCAAGGCUGCCUGCCUGAGAGUGUGCUCAAGCAAGUGGGGAGCGCAGAAGCAGAAGGGUGCGAUGAUAAGGAGUGAAGAUGGACGACCUGCAUCAAUUGUUUCAUGGAGAACAAGAAGGAUUGUAUCUACGUAGGUAACGGUCAAAUAAAUGGUUUUGUUACAUGCGGGUCCCAGCUGUCAUAAUCAUGAUUAAUUUUAAAGCACUAUGUGAUUAGGGUUUUUGAAAUAACCGACCAACCGUUUGGUAGUUAUCUAUAAAAGAAUAAAAACCGAUAGUUUUUUAAACCCUAGCCUGUAAAGUAGUAGUAGUUUUAUACUAUUUACUCGUCUCCUAGCGAUAAGGCUUCACCAAAGUACAUACAAUUGCACUGCAGCACCGGCCGUGUACAAGUACGGACAUGUCUGCGUCGCUAUCCAUGAUGGUGUCGUGUUUGGACUGGAGGCGAACGAGAGGAGAGGGAGAAGCCAACUCGAUCCGCGAGGCUGUUAACCGUUUGUCUAAUUCACAUCUAGAUGUUUUUUAAAAAUGUCACAUCUAAACUACCACAAAUAUACUAUAAUGCAGCAACAAGAAAUCUUUCCUUAAUAAUAAAGCGAUUAUCGCGUGUGCACCAUCAUCGUCGCGCUUUUGCUAAAAAGUCCCUGUGGUUUUUGAUUAUUCAACCCCCAGUCCCUCUUUUAGUGGAGGUCUGAAAAACGGUUCGUUUUUUAAAAAAAAGAAAAGAAAAAAAAACUGCGUCUUAUCCAGACGCCGGCGCUUCCCUUCCAGCCAUGGAGGAGCAGGAGAAGUUGAGGGGCGGGCGGAGCAGGAGAAGUUGAUGGGCGGCGCGGCGGAGGAGAAGUUGAGGGGCGGGCGGAGCAGGAAAAGCUAAUGGGCGGCGCGACGGAGCAGGAGAAGUUGAGGGGCGGCGCGUUGACGGUGGCGACAGCUUCGGGUGGGCUCGUGGGCGAGCGUGCUGCAGGAAAAAUCAGGUCCCCGCCGGCGACGAGCUUGCUGGAGCCGACGAAGGGACCCGCGCGCGUUGGCCGGCCUUGCUCUGGCGGCGGAGCUCGAGGGCGUGCCGGCUGCUGCACGUGGCGGAGCUGCUGCUCCUGCUUUUUCGCUGCGUCGGCCGGCCUUCAGUGGCGGCGGCGCCGGCCUUGCUCUGGCGACGGAGCUCGAGGGCGUGUCGGCUGCUGCACGUGGCGGAGCUGCUGCUCCUGCUGUUCCGCCGCCGUCGGCCGGCCUUCAGUGGCGGCGGCUCGAGCUCCUGGGCAUGGCCAGCGGCUGCUCCAGUUGCUGGGCGCGGCGGCCGGAGCAACACACACCAGUUCUUCCUGCAGCCGCGUCGCCCACGUUCCCGAAAACCACCGUCCGCCAUGGCCGAUGAACCCAGUGCUCUCGAGUCCCUCGGCUUGCUCCCGCGGCACCAACAUGCUCCUGAUCUAGAAGAAUUGCCGAGGCGUCCAGGGUGGGACUGCUCUCCAAUACGGACUCCAGGUCAUUUUGGCCUGAAAGAAUUCCAGAUAGUGGCCAUGGUGGAUGUAUGAGGUGAUCUGGGUGCUGCAUUUGAUGGCCAUGAUCUGUUUGCUGCAGGCCAACUCCCUGCUUGUGGCCUCUGAAGGUUGGGAAACUAUAAUUGAAAUGUAUCUGAAGACAUGGUCAGCACGUUUAGGCACUUACGAAUUCGAAAAUGUUAAUUGUUUGUUGUGCACUGAAGUUUUUGUGUUCAUAGUACUUCACGCCGAUAGCUGAUAAGGCAUUGAUUUUUUGCAAAUGUAUACAUAGAAAAGACAUGUAACUGUAGAUUUUUUAAAGACAGCUAGCUACUUGGAUUACGCAUCGGCAAGUACUCCCACAGAUACAAUUAGAACUGGGUUUGCUCUUAAUUAAGCAGCUCGCUAGAUAACUUUUAAGGAUUUUCCCCAAAUCAAAAUAAUAACCUUGAAGUUCAGAUCUUCUACUGAAAGUCCUUUUCUAUCUAUGAACAUCAGGAGACAACUUCCAGUUCCAAUAGACCUAUCCGAUAGAAUUCUCGAAGCUAUUAGCCUGCAAGCUCUCAAUCAGGUAUUGUAUUCGCAACUUAGCGUAUUUUUUACUGAAGUUUGGUGCCUAACUCCCAAACAUCUUUUGUCAAUCGUAAGAAUGUAGAUGUUGACAACUUGACAUAAAUUUUAUGCUUUCUGCAAGAAGAGUGGUAUCAAUAUUAAUAGAGAAGUAGACAUUGUUCGAAUUAUUCUCGAUUAUUUGUGUUAUGUUAAUAGCUGCCUGCUCUGUUCUUAACUGUGUAUCCUUGCUCCUUGGUCCCCUGUCAACUGUACAAAAGGUAAUUUAUCAGAAUCUUACAGCCUUUUAGCUGCACCUGAGCCUAUGAGGUUCCUUAGUUUCACCACUGAACAUGAAGCCACUCAAGUCUGAAGUCUGAAACGAUUGUCGGCAAUCGCAGUAUGAAUUCAGAAUUGAGAAAAUGAUGCACUAUCAAUAAAAUCAUUACAACCAUUGUCGAUUUAAACCGAUGAAUGUGCUUACUUCCAUGGUGCUACAGUAUAUACAAUCCCAAUGAUUUGUAUUCCUUGUGCCAUCAAAAUUUCUGCCGAUGCAACUGUGAGCUCAGGGGCAAUUUGUUUUAUAUUUUUAUAUAGUUGCAAUAAAAUGCUAUGGUUGCACGUUGGCUUUGCAUGUCUGAUUAGCUGGCUGAUGAAUAUUGUUACUCAAUUAAAAUGAUCUGGGAUCUUUUCAUGCCAAUAAAUACUCUCUGAAUUGUUUGUGUUUUGCACAGAGUUCAUGUAGCAAAAAAUGUGAUGUCUGAAGGGAUGCACAUGUCUCCUUGGUAAAAAAAGAGACUGCAAUUAACACAAAUCCAAUGCAUCAAGGUCAGCAGUUCCAUAUUUUUAUGACCGGGAGUGUACCACUUCAUGCAUGCACUUUCUUUUAUUGUCGAUAACACGCCCGAUGCUUCGCGAAAUGUCUGAAUGAGAAAGAUAGAUAGAUAGAUAGAUAGAUAGGUAGAGAUGGAGAGUAUGUAAGUGAUGGAGCGUCAUGUGGUCUUGACGCACGGGCAUUCGUAUCUACUCCUACUUACUUGAAUCUUCUAUUCCCAGUUAAUUAGAAUUUUUUUAUUUGUGGUCAUCUCCUAAGUACGCAAAUUAUUUUUUGUGUUAAAGAGCAGUACGUUCUGUUUUCAUUUGUGACCUGAAGGUCAGCAACGUCAAGCUUGCAUGCAUCUGAAGGCAUGUUCCAUCCUUGAAUGUAUACUAAUAUAAAGGCAUGUUACAAUUGUGGGCAGGUAGAAAAUUCAUCAUUUUAUACAAGGACUAUGGAGUUAAAUUUUUGUUGGUUGCUUUCGACUUUCACCAUUUGGCCAGCUCUAUCUCUUUCACACCUCUUCCUCUGUGACAAAGGGAUGAAGCUAUUGGUUUCAAAUUUGAAAUAAAGGCCUGAAGUUGGCACCAACGCUCCAACGCAAAUUUGAUACAUCAAGGUUAGCUUUUACAUAGCUUUUGUUACUGAAAAUAUAUCAGAGAAGCACUUCCGAAUCAAUUAUCGGUGUUUAAAAUAUAUUUUUAGAUAUCAUGGAGCAUACAUAAUCCCGGCAUCAACUUUUGUGUAGCGCUUGAUAUAUGUUUAUAAUCAUUUGCAAGACUACGUUAAGAAAAUGAUGUGAAAUAUUUAGAUUGGUACGCUGCGAGGAGUGGGCUGGAAUGACAUGUUUCCUCUCUCUAUAUUGUCAUAGUGGUGGAGGUACAUGCAGGUCUGACGCCAUUUUUACAUAUUUGCAUAUAUCAAUGGUCAAUUUUUUUUCUGUUUUCCUACUGACAUUUACAUACUACUUUGCGUUUUAAAAGCUACAAACAGUUUUCUCUGUGCAGACCAUGAAGAGAUGCAUCUCAGAGGACAAGCAAUGCCAUGUUUUCAUUGUACUGAAAAUACUUAGUUUCCUGGUCUAUUUUGUUAGUAAUCUAUAUAUAACUAUAUUUUCUUAUUGAUUUUCUCUGUGCAGACCAUAAAGGGAUGCCUCCCAGGACAAGCAUUUUCGUAUUUUCAUUGUACUAAAAAACAUAAUUUCCUGGUCAUUUUUGUUAUUAAUCUGUACAUAACUAUAUUUAUUAUUAUGAGGUGAAAAUAUUCUGAGGAUGCUUUCAGGUACAUAAAGAUAUAUAAUGUAUUCAGCUUCUGCUUACACUUUAGUUCAAUGUGUUCAGCCUCAUACCACCAGCAGUGCCAGUUUUGCUUACUUCCAUUAAUAGCCAUGUAGGGAUCAAUCCUGCCCUGUUAUGUCGUAUCCAAUUACAUAUUUAUGCCUUCUCUUUGGUAAUUUGAGCAUUUGCUUUCAUCGUUGUUAGUUACCAGUCAUGCAUCGAGUCUACCAGCGCCAAUCAGCUACUCAUGGAAAAAGGGUCCAAUUGUAUUUCCUUUUUACAAUUUCAUGUAGCUAGGAUGGAUAAGAAAAGGCUUGAAUGAUGCAGUUGAUUAGAAUGUGGAGUGCAUAUUUGCUUUAAUUAAAUAUACGCCAUUUUUUAUCUCCCGUUGCAACGCACGGGCAUCUUUGCUAGUAAAAAAAACAGGACAAAAAAAUAGAUCACAAACAGAGUGGAUAUUAAUUUAGAUGUCACAUCUAGAUGUGUCCUAGACUGACUCUAGAGUUAAUCACGACCCAACUAUUACUAGGUUAGUCGUGUCCGGUUCGUACAUGGCACCGACUCGGUUCUGUAAGUAGUACUCUACUAGUUAUAUACACACACAGUACACCUUUGAGAAACAUCUCAGGUCAAAAGAAAAGAAAUUGAUCAACUCGAUCGCGUGCCGCAACUAGCCGGAAACAAAUCGUAUCGUCGGCGGCGUAAUAGUCCCUAACCAACUGUCCGCAGGCAGGCGACGGUCGAUGGCGGCGCUCAGACAGGCGGCGACGAGGCUGGUGCAGCGAACUGUUGUUGGAGUGGAGCAACGCCGCCCCCUCACCCUGUUGUCGCCGAGGCUCAUCCACACCCAGCAGAAUUCAAGAUACAUGUUCUCCCCAAAAGAACACCAAUACACCAUGCGUCGCAAAUCCAGCAGAAGAAAGAGCAGCCGUACGAUCUCCUUGCCCACACGGAGGCAGAUUGAGCGGCUUCUGGGUCAGAUUUGCAUGUGCUCUCGACUCUCUCCACACGAAUCGAGCCUAGACCAUAUGACCCUCAAUGGUACAAUAUCAACCAACCAUAUGCAGACAUACUCUAUAUAUCUUGCUAGCUAGCUACUGGAGUUGAUAUAUUAGUAUUCUUUUUGUACAAUUUAUCGCAUCCCACUUAAUUACGUGCACGUAGGCGCCGGAUAACCAGAACCAAUAAGGUGAGGGGUUGGACUGCGGCGUCGCUUUUUUUUGUCGCCUCUAGGAUGAGUUUAUGUGGCGUGGUUGCCCGCCCUAAAUUAGUAGAUCAUGAAGGAUUGUAUUAUACUGCUGAGAGUGUGCCCAAGCUAGUGGAGCAAGGCUGCCUGCCUGAGAGUCUGCUGAAACAACUGGAGUAGCGCAGAAGCAAAGGGUACAAUGAAAAGGAGUGAAGAUGGACGGCAUGCAUCUUGUUUUAUGGAGAAGCAAGACAUCUGAUUGAUAUAAGUUCUUUUCCAGCGCUAUAUAUUCAUAAUUGUUGUUGUAGAUAUUUGUUACGUUGCUGACAUGGUAUGUUUUCCGUUCGAGUGAAUUCUAUGAAUAUUGUUAGAUGGCUCUUAUAGAGUCUCCAA